rnacentral:lncRNA from 1 species
UUUUUUUUUUUUAAGAUUUUAUUUACUUAUUCAUGAAAGACACAGAGAGAGGAGAGAAAGAGGCAGAGACAGAGGCAGAGGGAGAAGCAGGCUCCAUGCAAGGAGCCUGAUGUGGGACUUAAUCCUGGGUCUCCAGGAUCAGGCUCUAGGCUGAAGGCAGCACUAAACCGCUGAGCCACCCAGGCUGCCCUUACCACUCCUUUUCAACAUUGUACUGGAAGUCCUAGCUAAUGCAAUAAGACAAGAAAAUAAAAUAAAAGGUAUACUGAUUGAGAAGGAAAAAAUAAAAUUAAGUUUUCUGAUAACAUGAUUGUCUAUGUAAAAAAUCUGAAGGAAUGAACAAAACUCCUUAAAAUACUAAAUGAUUAUGCCAAGUUUUCUGGAGACAAUGUUAAUAUACAAAAGUCAACCACUUUCCUGUAUACCUGCGAUGAACAAGAGAAAUAUGAAAUUAAAAACAUAAUGCCAUUUAUUUUAGCACCCUCCCCAAAUGAAAUGCUUAGGUAUAAAUAAAACAGAAUAUAUACAAAAUCUAUAUGAGAAAAAUUACAAAGCUCUGUUGAGGGAAAUGAAAUAAAUGGGGUGAUACUUCAUGUUUAUAAAUAGGAAGACUCAAUAUCAGCAACAUGUCAGUUCUUCCCAACAUGAUCUAUGGAGUCAACACAAUCCCUAUCAAAAUCCCAGAAAGUUACCUUGUAGGUAUCAACAAACUGAUUCUCAAGUUUAUAUGGAGAGGCAAAACCCCCAGAAUAGCCACCAUAACACUGAAGAAGAGCAAAGACAGAGAACUGACACAACUCAAGUUCAAGACUUAAUAUGAAACCACAAUAAUAAAGACUGUGUGGUACUGGCAGAAAAUAGACAAAAAGAUGACUAGAUGAGAAUACAGAGCCACAUAAAUCUAGUCAAUCAAUCUUUGAAAAAAAGCAAAGGCCAUGCAAUGGAAUAAAGGCAGUCUUUUCAACAAAAACUUCCAGCUAGAACAACUGUAUAUCCACAUUAAAAAAAAAAGUCUAGACACAGACUUUAUCUUUAUAUCCUUCACAAAAAUUAACCCAAAAUGGAUCAGAGACCUAAAUGUGAAACACAAAACUAUAAAACUCCUAGGAGAAAACAUAGUUGAAAACUUUGAUGGCCUCAAGUAUGCAAAGACUUCUAAGAUCCAACAACAAAGGCAUGAUCUAUGAAAGAAAGAAUUGAUAAGCUAAACUUUAUUAAAAUUUAAAAAUUCUGCCAUACAAAAGACACUGUCAAGAGAAUAAGAAAACAAUUCACAGAUUCGGAGAAAACAUUUGCAAAAGACACAUCUGGAAAAGGACUUAUUUCCAAAAUAUACAAAGAACUUUUAAAACUCAACAAUAAGAAAAUAAACAACUCAACUAUAAAGUUGGCCAAAGACAUUAACAGACACCUCAUCAAAGAAGAUAUACAGAUGUCAAAUAAGCAUAUGGAAAGAUGCCCAACAUUCUAUGUCAUUAGAAAACCACAAAGUAAAACAACAAGAUGCCACUAUAUAUCUAUUAGCACGGCCAAGAUCUAAAACACUGACAACAGCAAAUGCUGAUGAGUAUAUGGAGCAAAAGGAACCCUCACUCAUUGCUGGUGAGAAUGCAAAAUGGUGCAACUACUUUGGAAGACAGUUUGGCAGAUUCUUACAAAAGUAAACAUACUAUAUGAUCCAGCAAUUGCUCUGUUUGGUAUUUAUUUACCCAGAGGAGUUAAAAACUUAUGUCUACACAAAGACCUGCACACAAAUGUUUAUAACAGCUUUAUUCACAAUUGCCAAAACUUGAAAGCAAGCAAGUUGUCCUUCAGUAGGUGGAUGGACAGAUAAACUAUGAUACAUCCAGACAAUGGAUUAUUAUUCUGUGAUAGAAAGAAAGGAGAUAUUAAGCCACAAAAAGACAUGAAGGAAUCUUAAAUGCAUAUUACUACAUCAAAGAAACCAAUCCGAAAAGGUAUAAUUCCAAUUACAUUUGACAGCAACUUAAACAACAGAGGGUUGAACGGUGCAGGUCCACUUGUUUGCAGAUUUUUUUCCCGUAAAUACAGUACAGUUCUGUAAAUGUAUUUUAUCCUUCUUAGGAUUUUCCUGAUAACAAUUUCUUUUCUCUAGCUUACUUUAUUAUAAGAAUACCACAUAUAAUACCUAGCGCAUACAACAUGUGUGUUAAUCCAUUGUUUAUGUCACCAGUUAGGCUUCCAGUCAACAGUAGAUUAUAAGUGGUUAUGUUUUUGAGGAGUCAAAGGUUAUAUGUAGAUUUUUGACUGUGCAGGGGUUCAGUGGCCCAAACCUCCGCACUAUUCAAGGACCAACUGGGUGUGACAUUCUGGAAAAGGCAGAACUAUGGAGACAGUAAAAGAAUUAGUGAUUUCUAGGGACUAGCGGGGAGAGAGGGAUGAAAAGGCAGAGCAUAGAUUUUAAGGGCAGUCAAAUAUUCUACACGAUACUAUAAUGACGAACACAUGUCAUUACACUUAUCAAAUCCAGAGCAUGUACAACCCCAAGAGUGAACCCUAAUGUAAACUAUGGGCUUUGAGUGAUAAUAUGUCAAUAUAGGCUCAGCAGUUGUAACAAAUGUUCCACUGUGGGGCUGGGGGCAGGAUUUUGGUAGUGGAAGAGACUGUGCUUAUGUGGGGGCAAGAGGCAUCUGUGAAAUCUCUGUACCUUCCACUCAAUUUUACUGUGAACCUAAAACUGUUCUUAAAAAUAAAGUCUAUUUGAAAACUGAAAAUAUAAUAAAUGCAACCAGGUGCAACCCUACCCCCCUUUCCAGCCUCCUAUCUCAUCACCGCCAUCAAUACACACACACACACCCACCAUUCAAACACAACCAGGUGCAUUCCUGCCUCUCUCUCUCUAUCCACGCUGAGCUGACUGACAUUCUCUCUCCACCCUAUACCUUUGACCCACAAUUUCUCUUAGAAUCCCCCUCUCUACUCCCACAACUCCCAGUUUUGUUUGGCUAUCUUCAAUAUGGUGCCCACUACCAGCUCAGGUAUCAUCUUUUGGCUGCCCCACCCU